AAAUUGAAGAGUUUGAUCAUGGCUCAGAUUGAACGCUGGCGGCAGGCCUAACACAUGCAAGUCGAACGGUAACAGGAAGCAGCUUGCUGCUUUGCUGACGAGUGGCGGACGGGUGAGUAAUGUCUGGGAAACUGCCUGAUGGAGGGGGAUAACUACUGGAAACGGUGGCUAAUACCGCAUAACGUCGCAAGACCAAAGAGGGGGACCUUCGGGCCUCUUGCCAUCAGAUGUGCCCAGAUGGGAUUAGCUUGUUGGUGAGGUAACGGCUCACCAAGGCGACGAUCCCUAGCUGGUCUGAGAGGAUGACCAGCCACACUGGAACUGAGACACGGUCCAGACUCCUACGGGAGGCAGCAGUGGGGAAUAUUGCACAAUGGGCGCAAGCCUGAUGCAGCCAUGCCGCGUGUAUGAAGAAGGCCUUCGGGUUGUAAAGUACUUUCAGCGGGGAGGAAGGUGUUGUGGUUAAUAACCGCAGCAAUUGACGUUACCCGCAGAAGAAGCACCGGCUAACUCCGUGCCAGCAGCCGCGGUAAUACGGAGGGUGCAAGCGUUAAUCGGAAUUACUGGGCGUAAAGCGCACGCAGGCGGUCUGUCAAGUCGGAUGUGAAAUCCCCGGGCUCAACCUGGGAACUGCAUUCGAAACUGGCAGGCUUGAGUCUUGUAGAGGGGGGUAGAAUUCCAGGUGUAGCGGUGAAAUGCGUAGAGAUCUGGAGGAAUACCGGUGGCGAAGGCGGCCCCCUGGACAAAGACUGACGCUCAGGUGCGAAAGCGUGGGGAGCAAACAGGAUUAGAUACCCUGGUAGUCCACGCCGUAAACGAUGUCUACUUGGAGGUUGUGCCCUUGAGGCGUGGCUUCCGGAGCUAACGCGUUAAGUAGACCGCCUGGGGAGUACGGCCGCAAGGUUAAAACUCAAAUGAAUUGACGGGGGCCCGCACAAGCGGUGGAGCAUGUGGUUUAAUUCGAUGCAACGCGAAGAACCUUACCUGGUCUUGACAUCCACAGAACUUUCCAGAGAUGGAUUGGUGCCUUCGGGAACUGUGAGACAGGUGCUGCAUGGCUGUCGUCAGCUCGUGUUGUGAAAUGUUGGGUU
rnacentral:rRNA from 1 species